rnacentral:rRNA from 1 species
UACAGAGGUGGCAAGCGUUGUUCGGAAUUACUGGGCGUAAAGGGCGCGUAGGCGGCCUACUAAGUCAGACGUGAAAUCCCCCGGCUUAACCUGGGAACUGCGUCUGAUACUGGAAGGCUUGAGUAUGGGAGAGGGAUGUAGAAUUCCAGGUGUAGCGGUGAAAUGCGUAGAUAUCUGGAGGAAUACCGGUGGCGAAGGCGGCAUCCUGGACCGAUACUGACGCUGAGGAGCGAAAGCGUGGGGAGCGAACAGG